AUGCUUUUGCCUAGCGCCCUCUCGCGGCCAACUAAACUUUUUUUUAACAGCGCGCGCCGCCUAGAAUUUUGCUAAACUAUGCGAUGGGCGUAGCGAGCAUGCGGGUUUAGCAUUCCUCCCCGCUUUGUUUAAGAGGAAUAGUUGACAUUCCGGGCGUUUCGGUAUAGUUUUCUUGUAGGGCCUGCUGCGAAAUAUUGUUGAUUCCGUUCCAACUCUGCUUUGGGUUGACAUCUAUCUGCCUGGUUCUGCUCCUGCUUUGCGACCAGCAUUUACAGCGAGCAUUGCACACUCCACUUUUUCUGCAAGUUUUGGGUGCGGCUCCCCGAUAGCAGCAAUUUAAUUUUAUAUCCGGCAUUGCCGGCAUUGCAUUUUACAAUAUUUUUGCUGCUUCUACAUCGAUUUUAACAUCGGACACGGAGUAGGCAUGAGCGUAGACCAUCCCAAGUGGUGAGUAAAUCCCUUGUCUGAUAUUUAACUCUUUUAUGACUGAAGCUGUUUAUGCCUGAAUCUUUUUGUGCAUUAGUCAUUUUUUUUAUGCAACAUUCUGUUCACUGACUGAUGUACUUAUAAAAAAGUUUUCUUUGAUUUACAAAUAAGGAAACCAGUUUUUCCCAAAUUUCUUUGAAUUAAAUAUCGUUAAUACUGUAGUUGGAUCUGGAAGUUAUUCCCAUAAUUCAUUAGUCAUUUAUUGUUUUUAUGCAUUUCAGAUACCAUCCUUGGAGCUACUUCAUUAGCCCAUUUCCCUUUUGACUGUCGUUUUUAUAGACCCAACAAAGUUUUGUUUUUAUAGACCCAACAAAGUUUUGUUUUUAUAUACCCAACCAAGUUUCUAAUAUAAUUCUUGUGUAAAUAUCUAAUAAUUUGUAUAUAUUGUCUCUAUUUGUAUUAUAAAUAAAACCAUUUCAUAUUUGUGAGACUACAGAAAGUUCGCUCUUCCCAAAUCAUUUUUUAGUGGAACCACUCGGACAUAAGGAGAGUGCCCCAUUGUAACAAACUAAAUUCCACUCUCCCCGGUUACACUUGGCGUAGUCGGCAGGAUAGCUUUGCUAUCCACUUUAUUUUAGAUUUGGGAGCGAAAUUUGAUAAAUUAAAUCAGGGCUAAACGGCAGUCAAAUAUAUAGGGAAUUCGUCUGGCACUGAUGAGACCGGGAGCUCUGUGGCGUCGUUCUGCCCAUGACGAAUGGGUACCAGACCAGGUAGACUAAGGAGGGGUGUACCGGCCCGGGUUCCUGCCGCCUUCCUUCCUUGGUGCCAUCUUGAAAGAAGAACUGCCAGCUGAGAACCACUGACUGACCUCCAGAGUGAGCUGCAGGAGUGUGUCAUCUGCUGCCAUUAGACGCCACUGAACUGUCUUCUUUUGGCGAAAUCCAAAAAACAGAACUCCUUCCAUCUUGGUGGCCGUCCAUCGAUCUGACAGCAAUGAUUGGUCUUUGCAGCGGGCUGUAAUAGCUUCAUUUUCAUAUUUUUGCUGGUGGUGAUUUGGGACAUACUACCACUUGGGUGACUACGUUCAUGCCAUCCAUCCCUUCUUCCACCCCGUGAUUCACUUUUCAUUUUAGUUGCACGUGAUUCAACCGUGCUUGGGUAUUAUAUAGUGGAUAUUAUGGGUGCACUGCAGCUGCUAGACGCUAAAGCGUGCAUAUUAGGUUGUCGUUGCUUGACUGCGUACGCGCGUCUUCAGCUAAACCCUAACAUUUUUGUACAUGUUUUUACCUUUUUUUAUCGUCCCAUUGCCAGUAUACUGAUUCUUUUUGUAGCAAUAUAUUUAAAUCAUAGCUGCAGAAAAAAAACUAUUUUGCAAAUGAUUUAAUUAGCGCUUUAGGCGAAUAAACCUUUUACAUCUUUAAUCUAUGAUAAAUCUUCAAUGCAGACGCCAUAUCUUUUAUUUCACAUUGUACAUGUAGAUUCCAUUAUAUCUGUAUUGAUAGUAAAGCCAGUAUUUGGUAAAUUUUAUUCUCUUAUUAUCCUAAUUUCGUUUUAACCGCUGUUGGGAUUAGCUAACCCAACUAGGAUAAAUAGACAUGUUUAGGUUGGGGUUGAAAGACGCCCUGUAAAUAGAUGUUCAGGAUUUUGUUUUUUAAAAUGCAUUAAGUGUAGCCAGAUACUAGGGUUUUUAUAGUAAGAUUAGUGUAGUAUGAUUAUAUAUUGAGAAUUAGGUUAUUGGGUCCAUUGGAGAUAAUCUCUAUUUCUCUAGCGACAUGCUAGAGGUGGACCAUAUUUUUGCCAUUUUUCUCUAUCCCGUCAUUCAACACUAUCUUGCAAUUUUAAUUAAUACU